AGAACUAAUCACGAUUCCCCUAGUAACGGCGAGUGAAGAGGGAAAAGCCCAGCACCGAAGCCUGCGGCAGAUUUGCUGCUAGGCAAUGUGGUGUUUGGGUCGGCUCGUGGGACUGCCACUCCACUCGAAGUCCAGCAUUGAGUAUGGUCACUGGAUUUGGCCCAGAGAGGGUGAAAGGCCCGUACGGGUGGAGGUUCAGACAUGUGAGGCGGUUCACCAGGUCGACCUUAGAGUCGGGUUGUUUGGGAAUGCAGCCCAAAGCGGGUGGUAAACUCCAUCCAAGGCUAAAUACAAGCACGAGUCCGAUAGCGAACAAGUACCGUGAGGGAAAGUUGAAAAGUACUCUGAAGAGAGAGUAAACAGUACGUGAAACCGCAUGCAGGUAAACGGGUGGCGUCAAGCUGCAAGCCCAGAGGAUUCAGCCGGCUAGGUUGUUGUGUAUGCGCCUGGCGCAUCUAUCAGUCGGAGUAUGAUGGGAUAGUCCACCGGUAGACGGUGGGCCCGGCCGCAAGGUUGGGAUAUGUGUACCGGGUGGGUGCCGGAGCAUGCUAUCCGUCUGAGGACUGUCUAGCCGGUGCACUUUCUCUGUGGUGAACACCACGACCGGUGGUAUUGCCAGUCUGCUGUGUCCAAGUCGUAUCUGGUAGGUCCUUGUGGCCAACUGGGUGCGAUCACAGGCAAACUCAGUAAACGGCGUAGAGGUGCUUCGGUAUCUUUGCGUGCUAUCGGCUACUGGUUGUCAACGGGCCUGCUCGAUGCAUGUUUGGCUUAUUGUAACCGGCAUCGGGUGGUCUGGUGGGGCAUGGUGGUAAGAAUAACUGUGCAAGGCACCGGAGUUAUCGGCCUCAAAUGUGUCCUGUGCCCAUGUUACAAGUGGCACCUGUGGCAGUGUCGUUAUUGUCUGCCCGGUGUUGGGUCUGAUUGUCGUGUCGCCUGCACAAAGUAGGCCCGGCAGUGGCUCGACUCGGGAUGGGCAGUGGACGAUGUUGUCAGCACGGGAUGCGGUGGGCCCAAUAGUCAGUGGUGUAGUGGA
rnacentral:rRNA from 1 species